AAUAAAUUAAAAACUCAACCAAACCAUCUACUAUCCUCAAUUCAAAUCCAUCUUCUCACUCAUCACGAAUCAAUCCUAACUUCUGGAAACUGAAUCACAAUAAACUAUAAUGAGUACAAAACCCAGUAAGCAAACUAUUUUUUCUUAUACGAAAAAUACAUACAUACUUAUACAUAAUGCAAUGGUUGAUAUGCUAUGAUCUUUUGGAAAUACUGUAAAAUAAAUUCAUAAAAAUCUAUUUCUGUAGCUUUCAAACUUUCUCAUUUUCUUUCGAUGAAAUACGUAUCCUGCAAUGUGGCACUUUGUGCUGUGCGUGGCAUUUUGCACCAUGCGUGGCAUUUUACGACGCUCUAGCCCUCAAGAGGUGGCCCCCGCAUAGUCCUAAGAGGUGGCCCCCACACAACUUCAAGAGGUGGCCCCCAAUGCAAAAUCUCAUAAAACAGAAAUUCCGUUUGCUAAAAUCCACUUUCUCAUUCAUAGAAAACUCAAUGCAUUUUCGUGCUCAUGUCAAUGAACCAUCACACAUACAUAUGCCCAUGUACAUAAUCACGUUCAACACAUGCCAACACAUCACAUAAACACAUGGGCAGAGACAUCUAAAUCCAUAUCCAUGUAUAUAUCAAAAUAGGUUUUUCACACAAGUCAAACAUAUAUAUUGUUUAGUGUGAUUCGUUUUAAAGUCUAGUUUACUUACCUCUUGGCAUCCUCAUGUAACAAAUGCGUACUGAUACCAUCAACCUAAAAUCAUCAAUAAAUUCUCAUAAGAUAUCAUCAAAUCUCAAUCAUAAACUCUAAUGUCCUCAAAUAUCUCAAUUUAAACAACUCUUAAGCUCAACCUCAAAUGUCCUCAAUAAUCGGCCCUCAAAACAUAACAGUUCAUACUUCUCCGAUUUUUAAUAAAUUAUCCUCUUAUUAGAAGAAUCUCAAAUUUUACAGACCAUAUGCUGACACAUUGAAAGUUCAUUGAUAAAAAUUUCAUAACAUAAUUCCUUCAAAAACUAUUGAAAAUAAUUCACGUUUCAGACAUCAUCAAUACUGUCAAACAGUUUUCUGUUUUGAACACACUUGCUUUACAAAUACAAAACAAUUUAUUGCUUUAUCAUAAAAUCAUGAAAAUUUUCAGAAUCAUACUAGACAUAUAUAAAAAUCAUUGGUCCAAAUUUCAUAAUUUUUGAAGAACUCUCACUAUGGUAAAAAUAAUUUCGUAAUUCACGUUAUUCACUGAAAUCAUAAAUUUUCAGGUUUUCAGACUUGAAUUUGAAAAAUCAUAAUUAAUUGAAAUCUUAUCCGAUUAACUUGAAACAAGUUUCAAAACGUUCUAGACGAUGUCUAGUUUAACAUACCCAAAAAUCAUAAUCAGAAUCAAUUUAUACAGAGUACUAUGAUUUUCGUAAUAAUUCACUGUCAGCAUAUUUCUGUAAAAUCGUAGGUUUCUACUUCUAUUGCAAUCAUGCUUCUCCACAACAAUUUAAUGAAAACCAAGAUUAAAACUUACCUCCAAAACUUCUCCCAAUAAUAACAACUUGAUCUCAUGUGUUGCCUAUGGCAAAACUAAGAAGAAGAAGAAGAAGACUUUC
rnacentral:lncRNA from 1 species